AGAGCACAUUAGCGUUGGUUUCUCUACCCCUGCCCGGGUUCGGGCGUGCGUUCUGUGAGUGGCUCUCCGGGACAUUCAAAGCUCGACGCCAGGGUCCUAGCAGAAGCCAGGGUCCGAAAGCUAAGCGAGAGCUCUGGGACGUCCCUUCACCUGUCAGAGGGUGGCCUUGGGGCUUCCGCCUAAGGGGAGUCCCUGGUCCGGUUUCGCCAGCUUUUGGGCCAUUUGGGGAGUUUGGCGAAGAGGUCCCCACAGCUCGCCCCGGGGACGUACGUGGCGCGGCACUCACCUUCAUCGUCGGCGUCUCCUCGGAAGUGAGCGUUCAGAGAAGGAGCGCAGGCAGAAGUCACCGCGGGCGGCGGAGACGCGCGUCCUGCACCGCUGCUCCGGGCGGUGGAGUCACUCGCCGCUGGCAAGUUUCGGCCCCGAGUUAAACAUUAGUGAGCGCCGAGCCCGCUGGGUAUAAAGGCGCCGCGGGCAGGCUGCAGGGCAGGCGGCGCGGGAGCAGGCGCGCGUGGCGCGGGGCACUGGCAUCCCGGCCGGGGGGAGCCCGCGAGGGCCCCCUGAGGGCGGUGUAGGGCGCUGGGCGGCAGCCGGGGCGCAGAGUGCGGGGCCCGGAGGAGCCGUGGGGGAGGGGAAAGGGCGCGCGGCCUCGGAUGCGCAGACCCUGGGCCGGCGACUCGGGGACCCUGCUCCCUCUUAGCUAAAAAUGACGUCGGCGUUCAGCUCCUCCAACCUCACGUGGACAGGCGAGGGAACCGAGACCCAGAGAGGGCAGGGGACUUUGGCAAACUCACACAGCCCACCGCAGGCAACUGGAACUGAAACCCAGGACUCCGUCUCUUGCCAGUGAAAGUUAUGUUAGGAAGCAGUGAGGGGUCUAAAGCAGUAUGAAAGGCAAAGAGAAAAGGUGAUUGUUCCCUCUUGAAUGGCCCUUGGAAGCUGAGUAUCUGGAUUCACCCUCCCUAGGGAAUUUCCCGAUUGUCUUGCAGGCUUACACACUCAUCAAGAUGACAAAAAUAAUGACAGUAACACUUAUGUGGAACUUGACUUUUUCCCAGGUGCUGCUCUAAGCAUUUACUGUGUUUGUUUUACAGGAAGGAAGACUGUACACAGAGAAUAAAUAACUUGGCCAAGCCAUUCAGCUAGGAAGUUGUAGAUCCUAAAUUAAGAGUUCAAGGUCUUAAUGGCUACUCUAUGCGGCCUCUCAUAGUCUUUUCAAGGGUUUUGGAGAAGAAUAAAAGAUCAGUCAUCCACAGAUGUUUGAGUGGUUACAAUGUGCCAGCCUCCCUUCUAGGUACUGGAGAUAAAGUGGGACAAGAGAGGUGAGGUCUGGACCCUUGGCACUUUCACGAUAAAAUACACAGGUAAACAUUUGCCUUUAGGGCCCCCUGUGAUUACUUCCACUCUUGCAGAUAAGAGGAUAAGGCCUCUUCAGCUUGUUCACAGCAGCUGAAAAGCAAAGCCUCUCUGUCAGUAGAGGUAAAAGAUUAAGAAUGCAGAGUCCGAUGGGGCAUUACCACAUGAUUAUGAAUUAAUGCAAUUUUCCAUCUUUUAUUUCCAAUCCAGGCAUUGCUUUUGAACUCAGUCAUCUUUUCCCCCUUGCCCACUAGUUGCUUGUGAUACAUCAGUAUCCUCACUCACCCCCAACUCCAGAGGCUGAAACUAACUCUCCUCCUCCCUCUUCCAACUGCUGAGGAAGAUGAGUCAAUGGUGUUACUGGACCCUGUGAACUGAUGCUGUGAAGAGAGGCCAUUUAACACGGACUACGGGGAAUGGUGCCACAGGGGGCUCAGUGCUGCCCUUCACUCUCAGCAUUUUGCUCACUCAGCAUUGAUGACAGGAUGUCCCAAAAGUAACAAAAGAUGGGAGCCAGUCCUCUCAUAGCUGUUUCUUCAAUCAUCCCAUCAACAGCUCUUCAUUUAUUGAACUACCUUCCUUUUCCAAAGAGGUAAUGCUGAGAUCAGUCAGAAAGGCUUUCUGAGAAAACUGGCUUGGAUUUCUGGGUCUGUUGCAGUCAAUUCAAGAUGAACUGGCUUGUAUCAAUGAAGCGCUCAAUGCAGUUCACAAAACAGGCCUCAGCCCGACUGUCCAACUUUGGCCCAGGCUUGUCCAUGCACUUCUCCCAACAAAGUUCAGUCAUCUGGUGCACCAGCUGCUGGAAGCGCUGCUUUUGAGUCUCUACCUCAAUGAAAAUGCUGCAACUGCGGGUCCACUGCACCCAAACCCGCCGCAGAGGAAGAGCAGGAGGAAUCCAUCCCAGGACAACCAUGCUUGCAGAGACGAACUCCGCACCAACCUUCACGUGUCUCCACGACCUAGUUAAUCAAUUUAAAAUGAGGUCACUAGGGUGGGCCCCAAUCCAAUAUGACUGAUAACUUUAUAAAAAGGAGAGAUUUGGAUACAGAAAGAGACAGAGUGAAAACCAUGUGAAGAAACAUAGGAAAAGAUGGCAGCUACAAGCCAAGGAGAAGCUUGCAGUGUGUAUUCAUCUGUUCUCAUGCUGUUAAUAAAGACAUACCUGAGACUGGGUAAUUUAUAAAGGAAAGAAACUUAAUUGACUCACACUUCCACAUGCUGGGGAUGCCUCACAAUCACGCCUGAAGGCGAAUGAGGAGUAAAGUCAUGUCUUACAUGGUGGCAGGCAAGAGAGCUUGUGUAGGGGAACUCCCCUUUAUAAAAUCAUCAGAUCUUGUGAGACUUAUUCACUAUCACAAGUACAGCACAGGAAAG
rnacentral:lncRNA from 1 species